CCUACGAGUGGCUGCAGUGAGGAAUAUUGGUCAAUGGGCGGAAGCCUGAACCAGCCAAGUCGCGUGAGGGAAUAAGGCCCUACGGGUCGUAAACCUCUUUUGCCGGGGAGCAAGGGCCGGGACGCGUCCCGGCCCGGAGAGUACCCGGAGAAAAAGCAGCGGCUAACUCCGUGCCAGCAGCCGCGGUAAUCCGGAGGAUGGGAGGGUUAUCCGGCUUUAUGGGGUUUAAAGGGUGCGUAGGCGGGCGUUUAAGUCAGCGGUAAAAAUUCGGGGCUCAACCCCGUCCUGCCGUUGAAACUGGGGGCCUUGAGUGGGCGAGAAGAAGGCGGAAUGCGUGGUGUAGCGGUGAAAUGCAUAGAUAUCACGCAGAACCCCGAUUGCGAAGGCAGCAUACCGGUGCACAACUGACGCUCAGGCACGAAAGCGUGGGUAUCGAACAGGAUUAGAUACCCGGGUAGUC
rnacentral:rRNA from 1 species